CCAGGACGUUGGCUUAGAAGCAGCCAUCGUUUAAAGAAAGCGUAAUAGCUCACUGGUCUAAUGACGUUGCGCCGAAAAUGUAACGGGGCUAAGCAUAGUACCGAAGCUUUGAAUUCCGCAUAUGCGGUCUGGUAGGGGAGCGUUCUUCACGGGCUGAAGGUGUGUCGUAAGGCAUGCUGGACUGUGGAGAAGUGAUUAUGCUGACAUGAGUAACGAUAAAACGGGUGAAAAACCCGUUCGCCGUAAACCCAAGGUUUUCCGGGUAAAGGUAAUCUUCCCGGAGUUAGUCGGCCCCUAAGGCGAGGCUGAAAGGCGUAGCUGAUGGGAAACGUGUUAAUAUUCACGUACUUGUGUGUUCGCGCGAUGAAGGGACGCAGGAAGAUAGGCAAGCCGGGCGCUGGUUGUCCCGGUGCAAGCGUGUAGGGAUGAGAAGUUGGCAAAUCCGCUUCUCUUUAUCCUGAGACGCGAGUCCGUGACCGAAAGGUCUGAAGUUGUUGAGUCUAUGCUGCCUAGAAAAGCUUCUAAGUAUAGGACACGCAAACCGUACCGGAAACCAACUCAGGUGGGUGGGAUGAAUAAUCCAAGGCGCUCGAGAGAACUCUGGCCAAGGAACUCGGCAAAAUAACCCCGUACCUUCGGAAGAAGGGGUGCUUUUUAGGGUGAAGCGAUUCACUCUGUCGAGCCCUGAAAAGCCGCAGAGAAAUGGUGGUGGCGACUGUUUACUAAAAACAUAGGUCUGUGCCAAGUUGUAUAGACGACGUAUACGGACUGACGCCUGCCCGGUGCUGGAAGGUUAAAAGGAGGAGUCAGCGCAAGCGAAGCUCCGAAUUGAAGCCCCAGUAAACGGCGGCCGUAACUAUAACGGUCCUAAGGUAGCGAAAUUCCUUGUCGGGUAAGUUCCGACCUGCACGAAUGGCGUAACGAUCUCCACACUGUCUCGGCCAGAGACUCGGUGAAAUUGAAGUCGCGGUGAAAAUGCCGUGUACCCGCAGAAAGACGGAAAGACCCUGUGCACCUUUACUAUAGCUUGACAUUGGGAUUUGAGCCUGCAUGUGUAGCAUAGGUGGGAGGCUGUGAACUCUGUACGCCAGUAUGGAGGGAGCCAUCGUUGAAAUACCACCCUUGUUUGUUCAGGUCCCUAACUCUUCGCCGUGAUCCGGUAAGAGGACAGUGUCUGGUGGGUAGUUUGACUGGGGCGGUCGCCUCCCAAAAUGUAACGGAGGCAUGCAAAGGUUCCCUCAGGCUGAUUGGAAACCAGCCGUCGAGUGCAAACGCAAAAGGGAGCUUGACUGCAAGAGAGACAUCUCGAGCAGGUACGAAAGUAGGUGUUAGUGAUCCGGUGAUCCCGAAUGGAAGGGUCAUCGCUCAUUGGAUAAAAGGUACGCCGGGGAUAACAGGCUGAUCGCAUCCAAGAGUUCACAUCGACGAUGC
rnacentral:rRNA from 1 species